rnacentral:rRNA from 1 species
UACGUAGGGGGCAAGCGUUGUCCGGAUUUAUUGGGCGGAAAGAGCGUGUAGGCGGUUUGGUAGGUCCGCUGUGAAAACUCGAGGCUCAACCUCGAGACGCCGGUGGAAACCAUCAGGCUAGAGUCCGGAAGAGGAGAGUGGAAUUCCUGGUGUAGCGGUGAAAUGCGCAGAUAUCAGGAAGAACACCCGUGGCUAAGGCGGCUCUCUAGUACGGUACUGACGCUGAGACGCGAAAGCGUGGGGAGCGAACAGG